AUUGAACGCUGGCGGCAUGCCUUACACAUGCAAGUCGAACGGUAACGGGCCUUCGGGUGCCGACGAGUGGCGAACGGGUGAGUAAUACAUCGGAACGUGCCCGAUCGUGGGGGAUAACGAGGCGAAAGCUUUGCUAAUACCGCAUACGAUCUACGGAUGAAAGCAGGGGACCGCAAGGCCUUGCGCGGACGGAGCGGCCGAUGGCAGAUUAGGUAGUUGGUGGGAUAAAAGCUUACCAAGCCGACGAUCUGUAGCUGGUCUGAGAGGAUGAUCAGCCACACUGGGACUGAGACACGGCCCAGACUCCUACGGGAGGCGGCAGUGGGGAAUUUUGGACAAUGGGCGCAAGCCUGAUCCAGCCAUGCCGCGUGCAGGAUGAAGGCCUUCGGGUUGUAAACUGCUUUUGUACGGAACGAAAAGCCUUCUUUUAAUACAGGAGGGUCAUGACGGUACCGUAAGAAUAAGCACCGGCUAACUACGUG
rnacentral:rRNA from 1 species